GACGAACGCUGGCGGCGUGCUUAACACAUGCAAGUCGAACGAUGUCCCUGGAGCUUGCUCCGGUGGAUUAGUGGCGAACGGGUGAGUAACACGUGAGUAACCUGCCCUUGACUCUGGGAUAACUGCGGGAAACUGUAGCUAAUACCGGAUACGACCCUCGGCGGCAUCGCCAGGGGGUGGAAAGAAUUUCGGUCAAGGAUGGACUCGCGGCCUAUCAGCUAGUUGGGGAGGUAACGGCUCACCAAGGCGACGACGGGUAGCCGGCCGGAGAGGGAGACCGGCCACACUGGGACUGAGACACGGCACAGACUCCUACGGGAGGCAGCAGUGGAGAAUAUUGCACAAUGGGCGUAAGCCUGAUGCAGCAACGCCGCGUGAGGGAUGACGGCCUUCGGGUUGUAAACCUCUUUUAGUAGGGAAGAAGCGAAAGUGACGGUACCUGCAGAAAAAGCACCGGCUAACUACGUGCCAGCCGCCGCCGUAA
rnacentral:rRNA from 1 species